rnacentral:lncRNA from 1 species
CACUUCGUAUACAGAAAUUAUAUCCUACACCAAAUGCAUCAUGUGGUGGUGCUCCAUGCUAAUUAUUUUUUUUGAUGAUGCACUGAAACAAAUGCUUGAUGAAUGAGAUUUGAUGGAAAAAUAAAUAGCUGUGUGCUCGGUGUGGUGCACCGUCACAUACAUAAUGCACAUGAUAUACGAUAUAAUUUCUUCUUCCUAUAAAUCAAACAUUGUCAUUUAAAGGAGGGCACA